rnacentral:siRNA from 1 species
UCAUCAAUAAAUAUGCAUUGC